UGACUCCACAGGUCAGGCAGAUGACUCUUGCCCUGUCAUUCCAUCCAGUGACAAGCACUGAAAACAUGACAAUUGACAUGGGGUUGGGGCUGCAUUGGGUUUUCUUUGUUGCUCUUUUAAAAGGUGUCCAGUGUGAGGUACAGCUGGUGGAGACUGGAGGAGGCUUAGGGCAGCCUGGAAAGUCCCUGAAACUCUCCUGUGCAGCCUCUGGAUUCACCUUCAGUGAUGCUGCAAUGCACCUGGGUCCGCCAGGCUCCAGGGAAGGGGCUGGAGUGGAUUGCUGUCAUAA